UUAUUAUAGUCAAUAAACAAUGAUGUAGUGGAGAAAGUUUAGUUCAUUCAAUGUACUAAAAUUUCUCCAUUUUGAGAGUUAAUACUUCUUUUGUAAAAAAGACAAAACUAUGUCAAUUUUGUUUCCAUAAUUUUUUUAAAAUUUAGUCAAAUUUAUCAAAGUUUAGUCAAAUAUCAAUCAAAACCGACUCAAAUCUGUUAAAAACAAGUUAAAUAUUAUAAAUAUUUUUUACAAUACACACAUGUGUAAAAACAGGACCAAAUAUGCAAAUAAAACUAACAAAACAGGGUUAAAUGUGCAAGGGUAAAACGUCCACUUUUUCCUCACUUAACACCGUUAAACUAACUUAACGGAGUGGGGCUAAACGGGAGCUUCAAUUUUGAAAAGUGAGGCCAGAUCUGCAAAGUGGAAAAAACAAGGCUAAAUCUGCCAUUGAACUCUAAAGUAAGGCCAGUUAUACAAUUGCCCCAAAGAGAAAAGGGCAAUAAGAGAAUUAU
rnacentral:lncRNA from 1 species